GAUGAAGAACGUAGCGAAAUGCGACAAGUAAUGUGAAUUGCAGAAUUCCGUGAAUCAUCGAAUCUUUGAACGCACAUUGCGCCCUCUGGUAUUCUGGAGGGCAUGCCUGUCCGAGCGUCAUUAUAACCCCUCAAGCUCAGCUUGGUGUUGGGGCCUGCUGCACUGGCAGCCCUUAAAAUCAGUGGCGGCGCCAUCUGGCUCUAAGCGUAGUAAUUCUUCUCGCUAUGGAGUCCUGGUGGAUGCUUGCCAUCAACCCCCAAUUUUUCUAUGGUUGACCUCGGAUCAGGUAGGGAUACCCGCUGAACUUAAGCAUAUCAAUAAGCGGAGGA
rnacentral:misc_RNA from 1 species